GCACUUGAUAGGAUUCGAAAAGGUUCAUCUCAUUGCCGGAUCGCAGAAGCGAGUUCGAAUCGGAAUCCAUGUUUGCGAUCAUCUCAGCCGAGUUGAUGAAUUUGGAACUCGAAGAAUUCCGAUGGGUGAGCAUAAACUACAUAUUGGUGAUCUCACGCAUUCGAUUUCACUUCAAGCUGAUUUACAGGAUAUUAAAUUCUGAUUGAUUGUGAACACUGUCGUUAAUGUUGAUGGUGUUUUUGCCAUAAUUUAUGUUAAAAUUACAUAGAAGUAAUUAAAAAGGUGAAUUGAUUGUAAAUAUUAAAAAAAAAGAAUCAAAUAGGUUGAAAAAGAAAAUUGGAAGUAAUUGUGAUUAUAAGAUGUUUGGUAUUGAAAAGUACGAUUGUGCCUCAAACGCAGCAAAUUUGCCGGGGGCUCUUUAUGUAGUUUUUUUUAAUUUUUUUAUUGUAAUUUCAUCUUUUCAAUGAAGUCAUGGUUGGCUCUUAUGUUACACUUACGGUUUCUCUACUUUAUUAUUUUUUUUAUAUAUAUAUAUUUUAAAAAUAUUGUAAUAAGUGUUGUGUAUUGAUUCGAACCCGAGACCUAUUAUCCAUAAGAACAUAGGUGUGCCAGUUGAGCUAAGUUCAUGUUGACGAUCAUGUUAUUUUUAGCUUUUAUCUAAAAAAAAUAAUAUUGUAUUAUGGAUAUAUAUAUAUAUAUAUAUAUAAUAAUUGGAAAAAAAUAGUAAAGUUUUAAAAAUAUUAUUGAUGAAUAUCGUGGUUUUUAAGUUUAUUAACGAGGGUUCGAAUUUUAUGCUUAGUACAAAAUAGUUUGUCAAUCAAAAUAUCAUUUUUUUUAUACGUUUUGUGAUCUUAUCUUAAACUCAAAAUUAUAAUUUAUUUUUCUUAAUAAACAAUGUCCAUCAAGAUAUCAUUUUUCUUGAUGGAGGGUUUAUGUUUUUUUUUUUUUUGUUGUCUUUGUACAUCAAGAAACCUUAGCCCCAUCAAGAAAAUUUUAAACCCGUCAAUAAAUCUAAAACAAAUGCAUUGAUUUUUUUUCGAUGAUGGCCAUUGCAAAUCAAGAAAAUUCAUUCCUUGAUGAGGCUCGUCCAUAAAAAAAACCUAUAUAACUUGAUCGACAUUGUUAGUCAACUUAUAUAUUAUCCUUCAUGUUUAUUGUUCAACAAGAAAUAGUUUUCUUGACGUUUGUGAACCAUCAACAAAACUAAUGGAACUUUUCCCAUCAACGAAAUAAAAAAUCUAUUUUUUAAAAAUGUUUUUUAGUAUUUUCUUCAACAAAAUAAGGAGACUUUUCUUGACGUACAUGAUCGUUAAGAUAAAUAUUGUAUCAAGAAAAAUAUUUUCUUGAAUGGUUUUUUGCCAUGACCAUCAAGAGAUCAAAAUUUGUGUGCGUCAAGAAAUAUCAAAUUUGUAGUACUAUUAUUUGAUGGGUUCUGAUGCCUGGGUAUUACAAAUGCUUGUGUUUGGAGGCAUAAAUUGGAAAUAUAUAUAUAUAUUUUAUAUCUGUGUUUGGGGUGUUGAUUUUGAAUUUAUCGAUUUAGUUAAUUUGUUUGGUUUUUUUAUUAAUUAUACGUCCUAAAUUUAUUUUGUAUCAAAAUUUCAAUUGAUUAUAUAUAUAUAUAUACAUAUUGUACAUCUAAUUCAAUUUACUGACUCUAUUGAUUUUAAUGAAAAUAAUGGUAAAAAAGAUAAAUGUUAAUAUUAGAUAAUAAUAAUUUUGAUUACAGUUACAUUAACAUAAAUGGUCUAAGUAUAAAUAUUACAAACUAUUCACAAAAUAUAACAAACCAUUUAAUUGGAUUAAGUUUACGAAAGUUAUAGCUAAGCGACAUUAAAAAUAAUCUAAUAGGUUUCAAAAUAAACAUAACAAAAAAGGUCAUGCAAAAAUGAAAGUUAUAGUUUUGUCUUUUUAUGACACACAUGCGACGUAUUUUAAUCAACUUUUAUCAAAAGAGGUCUAAAUAAAAAUGAGUAUUUUUUUUUUCAAAAAAUGUUUUUUCUUAAGUAAAUUCAAAUAAAUAUUUAAGUCUUCUAAUUAAAUUGACUAACAAAAUAGAUGAAAAAUGUUAUUAAACUAAAAACAAACAAUGAUAUAUAAUUACAAUUUUUACUAUGUUACCGAUAUAUUAAUAUUUGAUUUAUACUCGAGAUCAAAUUAUAUAGGCCAUUAAUUUUCACCUUGAAAAAAUAUAACAAAAUAAACAAAAUCUCCUAAGGAAAUAUUAAGUUUAAAUAAAGAAUAGAAAAGAGAUAAUUAUAAAAUGAUCUAAUAAUAAUAUUUAUAAAAAAAAACUCCAAAAGAAAAUAAAAUAAAAAAUAAAAAAUGUGUAUUUUAAAAAAUAUUAUUGUGAUUAAAUCAAAUGCAUGUAUGGAAUGACUCAGAUAAAAAAGUUUUCAAAAAUUCAUUUUUAUUAAUUUUUCAAGGUUUAUAGCAGUAGCAAAAAUGGUGGUCGAAAGUUCGUCGACUGAGUUUGUCAUAAAUCACACCUAGUGGUUGACCUACAAUGGCGCUAGGGUGGUGUUUGGGGUUGGUCGAUGAAUUUUCUAAAUUGAAUUAGAAAAAAACGUAAUUCAUGCGCUUGAAUAGUGUUUACUAUUCAAUCCCAUGGAAAAGAGUGUAAGAAGCCUUAGUGAAGACACUUGUUGAUCAAUAAUGAAGAUGAUGAACGGUCACCAAUUUUAAGACGAUUGGUUGGUCAUCGACCAUCAUAGCAAUCGGUCGUCAAGGGUUAUGGCUAUGAUCACUUGUUAAUAGGCAUGAGAUCGAUAAUUAACAAUAACGAUUGAUUAUCAUCGAUCAAGAUGUUCACCCCACGACAAUAACGUCCAAAGUUAUAGGUCACAAGCAAUCAAGAUCGAUCACCGAUGAAUCAAGACGAUGGAUAAUCAAUGGUCAAGACAAUCUAGAGCCGACUAUCAAAAUCCAAAGCCGACAGUUAAAACUAUCGAUUGUUGUGAUCGAAGAUUGGUCAUGAUCGGUUAUCAUGGUUGAUCGUGAGGUUGGCUAACAAUUGUUGCCAACAAUUAUUGAUAAGAUGUUGAAGUGAAAUUUUUUCUAAAAAAUAUGACAUUCAAUAAUUAUAUAUAUAAAAAAACAUAUUCCAAGCCCAUGAGUUUGGAAUCUUAAUUUCAAAAAUUUUAUUCCAAGCGGAGAAAUAUGUGUUUGACUUCAAAUGUCAAACCCCACCAAUUCUAAACCCACUCCUAGGGGGUGUUUGGCACACAAGUUCGUAAUCAAAUGCCUGAAAAUCAAUUGCCCGUGUAUUACAAAUGACUGUGUUUGGGGUGCAGGGUUUGGAAAUCUGGAUUUUCUUAUGCUUGUGUUUGGGGUGCUAAUUUUGAAUUUCUCGUGUUUAGUUAAUUUAUUUAGUUCUUUUUAUUAAUUGUACGUCCUAAAUUUAUUUUUGCAUCAAAUUUUUAAUUAGUUUUUGAAAAAUUGUAAUUGAUAAUCAUUUCAACAAUAAUAAUUAAGGAUAUAACAAAAUUUUAAAAAAAUUGCAAAUAUAGCAAAACCAUCACUGAUGGACUUGUAUCGCUGAUAGACCAAUAUUUGCAACAUGAUAGACUUAUAUUAUUGAUAGAAUUUGACAAAUUUUGCUAUAUUUGCAAAUUUUUUAAAAGGUUGUUGUAUACUUAAUUAUUUUGAAUCUAAUUGCUAAAUUUGAAACUAUCCUUUUAUAUAUAUAUUGUGCCUCUAAUUCAAUUUUUGGACAGUUUUGAUUAUAAUGACAGUAAUAUAAAAACGAGAAAUUUUAAUAUUAAAUAACAAUAAUUUUAAUAAUGUUGAUUACAAUUGCUAACAUUGGUGGUUUAAGUAGGAAUAUUAACUAUUCACAAAAUAUAACAAAUUACAUAAUCGAGUGGAGUUUAUGAAAGUUUUAGUUAAGCAUUGUUAAAAAUGAUAGAACUAAGUCAUGCACAGCGGAAAAAGAAUCGAAUUUCUACCAUAAUUGCCACAAUUAACAUGUCACCAUAAACUAAUCAAAUUAGGGUUUUAAGAAAUAUUACCUUUGAAGCUUUCAAAAGGUUUGAUAUCUUCUUACCAAUUCUACCCGAGACCACCACUAGUACUCAACUGCUAUCCUCUAGACAAAGAACCGGGUUGUGGGACCCAAUUUUGGUGUAGAAAGUAAUGGAGAUAAAAUGAGAUUGGAAGCUUUCUUUUUCUUUUGUUGAGAUGAUGAAAAUGAUAAAAGAGGGAAAACUUUUUCAACAUUUGAAAACACCUCUAUUUAUAACCUAAUUACAUGAAAAAAUGCAUGCAAUUCAUUUGCCAAAUCUCAACACCUAAUGUUCCACUAACAAUUAGUGGAACUUAGU
rnacentral:lncRNA from 1 species